UACCAAUCAAUCAUACUUCGGACAGAUUACUUUCUUCUGAAUGACAGCUUGAAAAUCUUAGCUUCUUGACGAUUGGAUGGAACAGCCCACCAACCAAAUAGAAUGCCUUAGAAGGCACUCUAAUGCAGGUUUUUUUGAUUUAUUUAUGUUCUGGUCAUCAUUCUUUGUAGGAUGGAAGAUAGUAAUGGGAGGCUUAAUGCUUGAGAAAAGGGUGCUGAAUCCUAUCAGAAGGAUAUGGAGGAACUUCUCUAAGCGAUUCUUCACAGCCCACAAAAAAAGCAAUGGGCUUCAUAUUUUGUAUGAGGACGUCAAAUCCUGCAAUGAUGAAGAUGUUAAUGUCUUGUGGUCGAUUCUUGUGAACCUUCACAAGAAUACCCAUUAUGCGGAUGGUAUGGCUGGGAGCAGUCCAGGCGAAUCAAAUCCUUCCACUACCACAUGAUAAAAACAUAUAUUCCCUCAAAGUUACAUACAGAAUAUGCAUUGCAGUGCUUUAAUAUAGGCAUAGAAUUGAAGAAAAAGGUAUAUUGAUGGCAGAUCCUUCAGUAUCCCAAUAUAAAUAACAAAAAUUCUAAGCUAGUCGUCACAGAUGGGAUGGAAAGCUGAGGAGAAUACACCCUGUGAAAUGGUUAGCUCUGUAUUUUUUGUCCAUUAUUGUCACCCACAAUGCCUGUGAAGAAGAUAUAAACAGAAACAUUUCAAAAGGCUUUCAAUAUAAGUGUAUUACUUUUGCUA